rnacentral:rRNA from 1 species
UGGGGAAUUUUGGACAAUGGGCGAAAGCCUGAUCCAGCAAUGCCGCGUGUGUGAAGAAGGCCUUCGGGUUGUAAAGCACUUUUGUCCGGAAAGAAAUCCUUGGCUGUAAUACAGUCGGGGGAUGACGGUACCGGAAGAAUAAGCACCGGCUAACUACGUGCCAGCAGCCGCGGUAAUACGUAGGGUGCAAGCGUUAAUCGGAAUUACUGGGCGUAAAGCGUGCGCAGGCGGUUUGCUAAGACCGAUGUGAAAUCCCCGGGCUCAACCUGGGAACUGCAUUGGUGACUGGCAGGCUAGAGUAUGGCAGAGGGGGGUAGAAUUCCACGUGUAGCAGUGAAAUGCGUAGAGAUGUGGAGGAAUACCGAUGGCGAAGGCAGCCCCCUGGGCCAAUACUGACGCUCAUGCACGAAAGCGUGGGGAGCAAACAGGAUUAGAUACCCUGGUAGUCCACGCCCUAAAACGAUGUCAACUAGUUGUUGGGGAUUCAUUUCCUUAGUAACGUAGCUAACGCGUGAAGUUGACCGCCUGGGGAGUACGGUCGCAAGAUUAAAACUCAAAGGAAUUGACGGGGUCAUAGCUGUUUCCU